CCGCCACUGCCUCCGUGUGAAUGGGGUGCGAGGCAAACAUCAAGCCCGCCAUGAAAGUCCAGUAUCCGUCCCCAAGCAGGGCCUUGGAGAAGCGUGUGAAGAGGCCGGUGACGGCCGCGUGCAACAGGACAUUGACAAGAUGAACACUGGCAUCACAGAAGCAAGCUACAGAAGCCUCAGGGAUCAAACUCAGGUCAUCAGGCUUUUACCCCCGAGCCAUUGCUCCUGAAUACUGCCCAUACCUACCUAUAUGGAAGGAUGAGUAAUGGAGUCCUCACUUCUCUAUGGAUACAAAGUACCUUUACUUCCUGAUGACGUACACUUUGCGGGGAAGAACAACCCUUCUCAGCAAGGGCCAAGCAAGGAGCACAUCAAGCAGUGUCACUUCAGUGGAUAACAGAGACACUUGCUGGGUUUGCAGACCCAGCCCUGCUGAGCUAGGGGCCUUGUUAUUGCCUUUAGAAAACAGCUCCUACUUACUCUCAGCUCGUACAGAUUAGGACAAGGCUGCCCUCAGGACCCAAGGAAAAGUCUUGGAACCCUGUCCCUCAGUGCACUACAGCUCUUCAUCUCCAUCCCUGGCCACACAACUGAAUGAAUGGAGAGCCACACGAUCGAAGUCAACACAGUGCCAAUAAUCCACUGAGAACGGCUAUCGUAUUUUGAGAAUGAGAUGAAAUCCUGGCAUUGUUUGGAGGUGGGAUCUGUCUGAGAAUAAGGCCAACUUAUGUUAUCAGAAACCAGAGCAAACAGGGAAAGGGACCCUUUUGGGUAAAGUUGGAACCAGCUGUGCCCAAAGCCAACAGAUGCCGCUUCCUCCGAGAGACGUUAGUCUCUCUCACACACGCAAUCAACAGUGCUACACCGCAUAGCAUUCGUUAUUUACUUCCCCUAUAACAGCACGAUUGCUCUUUCCCUGCCUUCUAUUUGCUGAGACUGCAUCCACACACACUUUUCCUACAAACCAUCUCCAUCUUACACAGUCCCCACGUUCAAUGCUAUCGUCACUUCAUCACUGAACUGGAGGUUGCACAUGAGGGCCCCUUCUCUCUUUGCCUCUUCAUCUCUUCCUUAAAAUUGUUUAAGGAUAUUUUGAAGCUUUCCACCACAUCUGAAAAUCCCUUGAAUCCACCUUUUCUAUCUUUUCUAAAAUCCUUAUUCAGGCUUCCAUUAUUUUUAGCGUGUGCUACUCAGCAUGCUUACUAGACUUGCCUAGCCAUUUGGAUCCUCCCUUCGUUAGUCUAUAGGUCCCCUCAGGGACACAAUUAUGUCCCUUUCUUUCCGUGGCCAAUAUAUCCUAGCCAUGCAAUAAACAUUGCUAAAGGGAACUCAAUAGCUAUGCCUGCUGUCUGCCUUCUCACUUUGAUCCAUUAUGUAUGCUAGGAGCUAAAAACGUUCCAGAAAUAUAACUUGAAUUCCACCUUCACUCUCUAGAAAUCCCUUAUCGUGCCCUUUUCCUUUUCAUUAGAAAGAAAGACAAAGAAAGGAAGAAAGAAAGAAAGGAAGAAAGGAAGGAAGAAAGGAAGAAAGAAAGAAAGAAAGAAAGAAAGAAAGAAAGAAGGGAAGAAGGAAAGAAAGAAAGAAAGGAAGGAAGGAAGGAAGGAAAUCCCGUUACAGCCAGCAUUCACAACCUCCUAGGUCAAUCUCUUACUAUUUCUACAUAGACAUCCCAAUGUCAAUCAAUGUCCCCAGCA